CCUACGGGUGGCAGCAGUGAGGAGUAUUGGUCAAUGGACGAGAGUCUGAACCAGCCAAGUAGCGUGAAGGAUGACUGCCCUAUGGGUUGUAAACUUCUUUUAUAUGGGAAUAAAAUGUUCCACGUGUGGGAUUUUGUAUGUACCAUAUGAAUAAGGAUCGGCUAACUCCGUGCCAGCAGCCGCGGUAAUACGGAGGAUCCGAGCGUUAUCCGGAUUUAUUGGGUUUAAAGGGAGCGUAGGUGGUUUGUUAAGUCAGUUGUGAAAGUUUGCGGCUCAACCGUAAAAUUGCAGUUGAAACUGGCAGUCUUGAGUACAGUAGAGGUGGGCGGAAUGCGUGGUGUAGCGGUGAAAUGCUUAGAUAUCACGAAGAACUCCGAUUGCGAAGGCAGUUCACUGGACUGCAACUGACACUGAGGCUCGAAAGUGUGGGUAUCAAACAGGAUUAGAUACCCCUGUAGUC
rnacentral:rRNA from 1 species